UCUCCCGAGUGCUCAGCAUCACCGGUUCCAUCCACUCAGCCGCAGCUCACAGAAGGAUCGCAUUUCAUGUGUGUGUAGUCUCCGGAAAACUCUGCUGACUGACUUCCGGUGAAACCAUUCACACCGAAGGACAUGACCUCCGGCAAUGUGAGAAGAUAUUGUACAGUAUAUUUUAAAUCUAUGAAAUUCAUAGUUCUGAUGCUUUUGGUCACAGAGCAUCCUUUUAUCACUUCUGGAAAAUGUUUAUUCCAAAACAGCUUUAAUGGCCCAUAUGUACACUCCGUAAUCUCAAGGUUAUUCUUCUGACACCAGCUUGCUGCUAUGAUUUCAGAGCACAUAAGUAAAGGUGCUUUUUCCUGUGCAGUCUACAGCGAGAGCUUACAUAAUUGCUCAUCUCCAGAUUUUGAUGUUUCGAAAGCCUCAGUGGAAUUAUAUUUCUUUUUGCUCUUUAGUACAUCAAUUUAGUUAUUUCCAAUGAAACUUCUUUUCCUUUUUUUUUUCUUUUUUUUUUUUGUUGUUGUUGUUGCUGUUGUUCCCAUUUUGGCUACUGCAGUGCUUUGUUUCAUACUUGAUUUGUAAAAAUUUUAUAUAUAUAUAUAUAUAUAUAUUUAAAAUGUGCCAUUUUAUUAUUGCUAAGUGAAGUAUGUCCUGUUUUCUGCUAUAAUUAUUUUUCCGUCAGAUUGCAAUGUCAGCAGUUACUGCCACCCUCUUGUCAGCUUAAACACAAAUGUUACCGCUUACUUCUUGAAAAACAAUUUAAAAUGUAGGUAUUUUGAAGUAUACUGGGCUUAUACUUCAUUGGAAUAGAUGUGUACAGCAAUAAGCAGGUUUUCAAACCCAGUACUUAGUUUGUGUACAAAUGUAAUUAUGUUCAUUGUGUAUAUAUUAUACAAUGAGCACAUGUAAUGUAUUAAAGGCUACUUACUAUUGUUUAAAUGCAAAUGUUCAUAUCUCAUUUCUUUUUUAUCAUGUUAAAUAAAUGUUGAUGUUCUUAAAUCA